CAUUCCUAUAGUGCCAGCUAGUCGGGAGCUGAACCAGCAGGAUCUCCUGAGCUCAGGAGUUCGAUGCCAGCAUGGGCAACAUAGUGAGACUCCGUUUCUGGGGGGGAAAAAAAUGGGCCUGGCAUGUUGGCUCACACCUGUAAUCCCAGCACUUUGGAAGCCAAGGCUAGAAGACUGUUUGAGGUCGGGAGUUCAAGACCAGCCUGGACAAUAUAGAGAGACCCCAUAUCUUAAAAAAAUUUUAAAAAUCAGCCAGGCAUGGUGGUGUGUACCUGUAGUCCCAGCUACUUGGGAGGCUGAAGUGGAAGGAUGGCUUGAGCCCAGGACUUCGAGGCCACAUUAGCAGAGAGCUAUGAUCAUGCCACUUCACUCCAGCCUGGGCAACAGAGCCAGACCUUGUCUCAAAAAAAAAAAAUUACUUUUAUUAUCUACUGGUAACCAAGAAAAUUUUGUAAGAAAAGCUAAUAAAAUAAAUAAUUAUAAUUAUUUAUCUAUAUGUGGUAGGCUGGCCAAUGGCCCCCAAAGAUAACUUCUUCAUAACCACAGGAACCUGUAUCUUACAUGCAAAAGGGACUUUGCAGCUGUGAUUAAGUUAAGGAUUUUGAGAUGAGAUUAUCCUGAAUUACCCAGGUAGGCCCUAAAUGGAAUGACAAGUGAUUUUUUUUUUUUUUUUUUUUUUUUUUUGGUGAGACGGAGUCUUGCUCUCUCUCCCAGGCUGGAGUGCAGUGGUGCAAUCUUAGCUUACUGCAAGCUCUGACUCCCAGGUUCACACCAUUCUCCUGCCUCAGCCUCCCGAGUAGCUGGGACUACAGGCGCCUGCCACCAUGCCCGGCUAAUUUUUUGUAUUUUUAGUAGAGACAGGGUUUCACCAUGUUAGCCAGGAUGGUCUCAAUCUCCUGAACUCGUGAUCUGCCCACCUUGGCCUCCCAAAGUGUUGGGAUUACAGGUGUGAGCCACCGUGCCGGGCCUGAAAAGUGAUUUUUUUAACAGCAAGGCAGACGGAGAUUUUACUACAGUCAGAGGAGAAGGUGAUGUGAUGAUGGAAGCAGGGAUUACAGUGAUGCACUUUGAAAAUGGAGGAAGGGGCUACAAGCCAAGGAAUACAAGUGGCCACUAGAAGCUGAAAAAGGCAAGGAAACUCUCUCUUCAGAAGAGCCUCUAGAAGAAAUCAGCCCUGCAAGACACCUUGACUUUAGCCUAGUGAAAAUGAUUCAAGACUUCUGACCCUAAAACAAUAAAAUAAUAAAUUUGCAUUGUUUUAGGCCACUAAAUUUGUGGUGAUUUGUUACAGCAGCAAUAAGAAACUAAUACACUGUUAUAGAAAAAGAAAUUGGUGAAAAUUCUGCUUCUUGGACUAUGUAACUCUAAAAAGAAAAACAUGAACAGAUAUGCCAAGGUCUUCAUUAGACAAUACGUAUAAGAUCUAAUCAAGAAGCCUAAUGGCCUCAAGGAAACAAACAGCAAUUAUGUUAGAUUUUGGAGUAAGCAUAAAAGCAAUCUCUACAAAUGGCAGCAAAUACAUUAUAAGUAGAUACAUAAACAGAAAAAGUGAACCAAAUAUAGUAACAUAAAAUUGAACUUUUAGAGAUUGCUGCUCAAAAAUAAUUGGCCAACUUAUUAGUUCAGUUUCUCUCCAAAGGCUCUAAGCUUGUGUAAUCAAGAUUUCCCUUUUACUAUCAUAAACCUAAAAGACUAGAAGAACCUGAAGAAAACAUAAUGAAACUAGUGGUUUUACUGCUCUCACAGCCAAACCAGAAACCCAGAUCAGCUCUAAGAGCUAGUAGAGGUUCAUGCCUUUACUUGGGUGGCUGAGGCAGGAGGAUGGCUUGAGAGUAAGGGCUUGAGACUAGCCUGGGCAACACAGUAAGACUCCACUUCUAAAUAAUAAUAACAACAACAAUAAUGCUGGUAGAAUCUAGGGCUUUCUCAUUUAUCUAAGGUCCCCUAGAGGACAGACAAAUUAUAUCACUUCAGGCUGUUUGGGCCCACAUAGAUUUGGGGGGCAUAUGCAGGACGACCUGUACCCCUAAACUAGAUGUCAGCUUGCCUUAAUUGUCACAUAUGUGGUAGAGGCAGAUAUGUGAUUGUUCAUCUCAUGCUAUGUCUCCCAUGUCAGGCUUCUGAAUGAUCCCUAAAUUGCUCAAGUUUCUGAAUGCUAUGGAGUCUGAAUCUUGCUUCUUUGACAAAUUCUGGAGCAAAAUGAGGAA
rnacentral:lncRNA from 10 species